AGCAGCCACCCCUUCCCCGACCCCAAUCCCUAGCCCCACCCCACUGCCCAGAUUCAUCCCCAAAAACCCAAGCCUCGACACCACCGCCUCCGCGUCCUCCACUUACGAAGAAUGGUCGACUGAGAAACUACUGUGGAUUUAAUCAACUUCUUGAUGCGAUUCAGAGCUCUAAAGCAAGAAUCUAAAAUCAAUUUCCUUUCAAGGUGGCCACAGGAAGUGAUUUGGAGGCAGCUGAAAUUCUCAUCAAUGUUGACCACAAAGAACCAUGUUGGUGGGUUUGGGUAACAGAAGAUAUGAUUCCGGGCAAAGUUGAGGAAAUGAGUGGAAUUGACAAUGAAAGCUAUGUUCUUGUUAGUGGGUAAAGCUCCGAUUCCCCUAUAUUCAUAUGGUUCUUCCAGUUCGAAUCACGGAAGCACUCAAUUCCCACAGAGAGAACGGGAGGAAUGGAUUGGGUUGGGGUACAGUACAGAGGUGGGUGCUUGAGGAAGUGGGGGAGAUGGCUGCCGUGCGGUGGAGGAAGAGGGAGAAGGGUGGGGUAUGCGUGUUGUGAGGGAAGGGGUUUGAUAUUUGUUAA